UCCCCCUUUCCUACUACUGGUUAUUUAGGAUCUCAGAACAUAAUAAUGCUUGGAACUCCAACAGCCAUCACCUGUAACUUCUCUUAAAGAUGCUAAAUCAGGGGUGCCUGAGUGGAACAAUCAAUUCAGCAUCCGACUCUUGGUUUCAGCUCAGGUCAUGAUCUCAGGGUUGUGAGAUGGAGCCCCAGGACAGGCUUAGUACUCAGUGUGAAGUCUACUUGAGUCUCUCCCUCCCUUUCUCUCUGCCCCUCCCACUCAAGCUCUCAUUCUCAAAUCUAAAAAAAAAAAAAAAACCACACACACACACACAAAACAAAAACUAAAAAAAUUAAAAAUAAUUAAAAAUAAAAGAUGCUAAGUGAAUCUAACAUCUCAUUCUUUAUCCAUUCGGCAAAUAUUCAUUAAGCAUCUAUUUUUUUGACAGGCAGGGUCUAUGAGGUAAAGGGCUCAGGAGGCAAGAAAGGGUGUGAGAAUACACCAUUCCCAGUCAUCACUUCACAGAUGAAGUGUUUCCCAUGACAGCAAAUGGCUGAAGAAGCCUUCUCAGUUGGGGGAAGGAGAAGCAAUGACAAAACAUGCUGGUAUCCCAGGUAAUUCCAGCAUAGUUUAAUGUUCUCACCAGCGUUCACUAGGACACCAGGGUCCCAAUUCAGUUCCCAUCAGGGAUAUUAAUAAUAACCAAAAGCUAUUCGUGAGGCAAAGGAAAAGAAAUGAAAGGCCCCCAGACCCAAACAAAGAAGGAUUCCAGCAGCAAAGUGCCACCAAGAAGAAACUGCGGGAACUUGGUCACCAGCGAUUCAUCUCUGCAGCCUGACCAUUUACUCUCUUUCCAGUUCAGUGGUAAUAGCGCUCACACCAUUUAGACUCAGCACUCAGACUGCUCCAGCCUGCCCGGAAAUCUGCAUGGAAGCCAAGGAUCAAAAUGCCUUUUCAUCUAAAGAACUGUGAAUUAACUCUCUGCCUUUUUAAUUACUCUCAAUUACUUUCCCACUAUUUAUAAGGAUUUUUUUUUUGCAUAACAAAAUCCAACUCUAAUCAAUAUAUGCAGUAUAUCCCAGCUGAUUAGUAUAAUUCUUGCUCCACCAUGAUGCUGGAGUUAUGCCAGCCUUACCUAGCACACAAUUAAAUGUCUGGUAAUGCCUGCUGCUACCCAGCAGGCCUCAUGAGUUAAUAGGGAAAAAACGGGAUUCACAUUUGCCUUUACCAGCCCUUAAGUGCCCUCUCUCUCUCUCUCAUCUGCUUGUAGACACGUACAAAGUGUGCCUAGAGAAAUAAGGGCCUGGAAUAAUCACACAAACCUAAAAGACACAGGGACAUAAGAAAAAAAAUCUCCAAAGUCUAACUUGUCAUCUCAUUUCAGUAAAUCCUUCCAGAAAUAAGGUAUCACUCUUCACACUUUCUAUUCCAAUACUGACCUGUGAGAUCACAUUCUAAGUACAGAAAAGAUUCAGAUAUCUAGACCCACCUAAAGCCAAUAUUAUGAAUUAUGUUCAGUGUACCUUCAAGCCAAUUUUCAAUAAACACAAAUCACUUAAUAAGAAAUUAAGAGCAUUACACACUUCUCAUGCUCCCAUGGAUUUGGUGUUAAUGAGAUUUUGUUUGUUAAGCUCACAGAAUGACAAAGUGUCUAAAAGACAGACACUGCCUUUUCCAAUUUCCAUUCAUUCAAGAAAUAGUUAUUGAGCACUUUUUGUAGUAAGUCAUUCCCAAUAUACACACCUGUUCACACACUGAUCUUACCAGCCCGCCCCUCAAAUAAUGCUUUAUUGCAGUGUAAUUAAAAAAAAAUAACAAAAUAAAACUAAGUAUUUGGAAUUUUACAAGACUUACAUUUUAAUCUAUUCUAUUACUAUCAGCCAGGUAAUUUCAUACAUUUGUCUAUACACACUAUGUGUCUGACACUGUAAAUCCAAUGCUUUACAGCAAGAUUCUCUUGCCCACAAAGGUCAGAACUGAGUAAGCAGUACCUGUAGGAUUCCCUCCAUGUCUCAGUGGCCACUGGAAAGGUGUGUUAAUUGUAGGUUAGUAUAACAAUAGUUCUAGCACACAUGUUUACAAAUGAUUUGGUUUUUAAAUGUAAAUUAGAAAGACUCCAAAGAUCCUUGUAAUAACAGCAUCCUUAUGUACAAAGGUAUUUAUUCCUUGCUUUUUGGAGUCAGAAAUGACUCCGCACUGAAGUGUGCUCCCACCUCCCACUAUUUUACCUUUGACUUAAUCUUAAGUGAACCUUAAUCUUCACACAUAUGUACCAUCAGGUACAAAUUCCUUUAUCAGAACUUCCUUGAAAACAAAGCAGUGCUACUGAAAGGUACCCAGGUAUUUGGAUGUGUCUAUGAUGCCUUUUUGGUGAACUUGCCACACUCCUUGAAAACUUAUGGAAAGAGCCACAGCUUUGACAGAUCAGCGAAUCAAGAACCUGGGUGUCUAUGCCUGGAGAUCUUUCCUCAGACUAGAAAAUGUGGACCUCAAAUAUACUCUAUCCUACCCACACCGGAAUCAUAAUACAGCCCCCAUACCUCAGGGAUAUUUUUCAGUAUUUGGUCACAGAUGUUCCACUGUGAAGGUCAAUGAUACACUAUUCAAGUUGAACAUAAACAAAUAUGGUCAUUCAGUUUUAAAUAUUAAACACUAGUAAGAUCCAACAAUAAUAAGAGUGGAGGAUUAAAGAUUAAUGGUCUAAAGGAGGAAAGACAGACUAGCAAAGGUGAUUUCAUUACAAGGCAGAUGGUAUUAAGCGCCACAAAAGUAAUACAAACUGUGGUGGGGAUCUGAAUGCAGAAAUGUGGAAAAGCAAUGCAGGAGGUAAGGUCUAUCUACAGGAGGUAAGGUGUAAGCAAACCUGCAGGAUGGCGUAGGGCUUCAGGUGAUUACAGGGGUUGAGCAGGGUGGACACAUAUGUCAACAAGAACCAAGGAGACAAAAAGUAGGAGGGGGCACUGCAGGACGUAAGAAGCUCCAAGUGACAAGGACACUUCUCUGGACAUUCCCAAGACUGGGAAUAGGAGCGAUCCUUAUUUAGUAUCCUUACAAAAGAGCUGACAUUGUCAGAGCUGUCAUUCUGGGUGGGACUGGCUGAGUCCAAUGCCCAGAAACUCUUCAGUUUUCCCAUUUCCGUAACCCCUCCAUAAAUGAGGUGGACUCUUGUAUCCUAAUUCUAGUUCCACUCCCGUCUUGCUCACCGGCUUCCCUUCUGACGCUUCCCCUCAAAGAAAUGCUGAAGGAAGAGGUCACACUCCAACUUUCAGACCGUCACGUCACCUAUUUGAAAUAAAAUAUAUUUCCCAUGUGUGUACACUCUUGCCUCUCUCUAAGAAAUCUGAUAUACAAAAAUUCAAAGUUAAAAAGCGACAAAUUAAGGGAAAACAAAAUAUUCUUUAGAAGAGAAUGAGCCCCCAGGAUCUGCUUAAAUAGUGAUUUUUCCCUAAUUGAAUGCACUUAAAGUGUGAUUUGCUUUGAAAAAUGUGAUUUACCUUCAUGUUUAAAAAUGUAUCUAUUGUAUAAGAGCAAUCUAGGCUUAUUCGCUUUGAUUAUUAUAAUAACCAGUGAUGAGCCGUAUGAAAAUGGCAAUCUCAUAAAAUACCUGUAUCUCUCUCCCUCUCUUUGAAGAGGAAGUAUAAUAUGUUAUUAAUCCUACCUAUUUAACAGAAAUAUAGAGGGUAUAAAUCGAACAGACUGUGUGCACUGCUGAAUAAAACUUGGGAAUAAAGUGACAAAUGUCAAUAAUGACACAUACAAACUCAACACUUCUAAAGUCAAAGAAGAUUAUUUAAUUAUUGGAUAAUUCAGGGAGAUCUAGGAAAUUGAUCUGGCAAUAUAAUAUGUUUUCAUCUCACAUUUCCCAAUCAAUUGCCUGCAUUGCAUAACUCCCUCAUUGCAGUAGUUGUCUUCUGAAUGUAAAUGAGGUAUGAAGGUCUCAUCGUUAAUCCAGGCACUUGCAAGCAGAUGAGGUCACUUCAACUGAAUAAAAGAUUGCUUGUGUCAUCUCUCUGACUUAGGGCACACAUGCCUUCUGUCCUUUUCUGAGCCUACCUGGGUAAACAUCAUCCGGUUGAAAAAGCUAACUUCUUCUUAAGGGUCAGUCAUCACAUUUGUUUAAUAUGCUUUCAUGCAGAAUCAGUCCAAGGUCAUUAGAGAACUCAGUACAGUUUUGCCAACAAGGGCAUGGAUCUGAAAAACUAACUCAGGCCCUCAGAAAGAUUAGCAGUGUGAUAUCUUAGUUCACCCAGACUCUGAAUGAUCCGAUACGUCUACACGAAUGAUGGAAAGGUAGAUUAUUUUAGACGGCUCCCAGGUAAGGAAACAUACUUAUGAAGAUGAGGAAUUAAGAAAUCUUAUAAAACUAGCUGUUUGCAUUAAUACCUUUACAAGAGACAGCUAAAAUUUAAAUUGUAAACAGGUAGUGACAAAUCCUCAAGGAUUUGGUGAGUGAUGUUUCUCGCAUCUUCACUUGUCAACAUUCCCUAUUUAUUUCUUUACUAACUGUGGCACUUUUGAGCAUUUAUAAUCAUAAAAUGCAGUUCAAAAAGAAAUCUAUCCCACAACCAGUAUAUUUAAAAAGAAAAGAUUCUCUCAAUCUCUUAUAUGAUUGGAAACUUUUCCAUGCCAACAACCUGAGGUAAAAAGGAUUUAUAGCACUAACCUAUGGACCAUAAAACUGAAAAGGAAACUGAGAAAUUGGGAUCCCUGGGUGGCGCAGCGGUUUGGCGCCUGCCUUUGGCCCAGGGCGCGAUCCUGGAGACCCGGGAUCGAAUCCCACAUCGGGCUCCCGGUGCAUGGAGCCUGCUUCUCCCUCUGCCUGUGUCUCUGCCUCUCUCUCUCUCACUGUGUGCCUAUCAUAAAUAAAUAAAAAAAAUAAAAAAAAAAAUUAAAAAAAAAAA
rnacentral:lncRNA from 1 species